UUGAACUAAGUUGAAAACCAUGCCUUCAACAAGAAGAGGAGAGGGAGCAACAAGGCGAGGAAGAGCAGUUGGCCAGCGGCGAGGCGCGCAGAGGAGGUUGGAGUUCUCUCCAACCUCAACUAGCCAGCGUCAGCGAGGUGCCACAAGGUGGGGUGCACUCGGCCGCGGGAACCGGCGACGCCUUCCCUCCUGCGUCCUUUGGGCCAUCAGGGACGCCUUCCCCAGCCCGAUCGGCACCUACGUCGGGUUCGUCGACGUCAUGCGCGAGCUGUGAGGUCCACAAUGAGACCCGGCGCGGCGGAUGACUCCUGAGGAGGCAGUCCGACACCCGUUCCUGCGGCCGGCCGGGCGGCACCGCUGCCGCCGCCGCCGCCGCCCGCCAGCUGGAGUGACGAGCCGGCCGGGCGCGCCGCCGCCGCCGCUGUCGGUCCCGACUCGGCGCGGAAGAGCGCUGUGGCGUCUGCGGCCGGCGGUCGACACGUUCUCCGCUCGGAGCUGGUGCCGCCCCCCGAGCAGCAGGGCCCGCGCGCCGGAGGAGCCCCCCUGGAAGCCUGUCUGCCUCUCAUCCACCAGCCGGGCACCGUUGACGUUACGUUUGCGUGUUCGCGCGCGCGCGUAGGUGUGUGUGUGUGUGUGCGUGUAUGUGUGUGUUUGUGUGGUUGUUGGCGGUGUGUGAUGAACCGCGUGACCAAGACCGGCUCGCCGUCGGCGGCCGGUCCCGUGGGAGAGGGUAUAUCUGUGACUAGGUGACGUGGCCGUCCCCUGGCAGUGAUUGUGCUCCUGAGAGAGGGAGCCUCGGGUGUUGGCGCUCGGCAGAACGGCGACUCGAAAGCCGCCGUCUCCGCGGUAUAUAGACUGCUGUUUUGUACAGUUGGACGCCACGCUGGGCGGAGCACGCCAGCCGAGCCGAACCAAAGAUCAAACCAAAGCUAUAUGGACAGGGAGGGGUGAUUCGCCUGGCAGUUACAGGUUUUAUAAACAAUACACCACGUGGCCGUU